UGAGGGCAGGGCUGGGACCCCUUGGGCCACGGGCAGGUCUGAGGGCAGGGCUGGGAAACGUGUUCCAAUGCGUUGAAUCGGGGGUCUUACUGCUUGCUGUUUCUCUUCCUCCUGGAGUAUUUAUUUACUCUUGAACACGUUUACUUGUUUUCUGUAUUUGAGGAGCAGGGGGGAGAGAGGCACAUGGAGGUAGCAUUUGUUCUGCUUUGCCUGUAGCAGCAAGGCUGAGCCAGGAUGAAGGCAGGAGCUGGGAACUCAGACAGGUCUGCCCACGUGGCCGGCAGGGAGCCAGCUGUGCGGGCCAUCACUGUUUCCUCCUAGGGCAUGUGUCAGCUGGGCCUGGGACUCAAGACCAGGCCCUCACGUGUGGGAUGUGGGCACUCAUGUGCGAUGUGGGCACUCUCUUUUCCUCUAGGCCACUGUCUCAGGACUCUAUUUCUAACUCAGUGCCAGCUGGAGUGACCCUGUCCUUCCAGCAGCUUCUUUGAGAAGAAAAUGCACAGUCCUCUUCUCCUGGAGCAGGAGAUGCUCCAGUGAGUGGAACAACCUUAUUCCCAACCUAGUGCCACCGAAUUUUAUCCUUUGGUUUUCCCGAAGAAAGUGCAGCCAUCUCUGUGUCAGGUGCCACUAACUGCCUGUUGGAGACCAGCACAGGCAUGGAAGAAGCAGAGAUGGGUCUGUGUCGAUGCCUUGCAGAUCACAGCGUCUGCAGGGAGAAGAGACGAGGCGUUGGGAUUGCCUGACAACCUCCCAGGAAAAAUGCUCUACCUGAAGGUCCAUUGCCUUUCCCCGGACAGUUCUGAGAGGACACGCUCCCAUUGGUCCCUGGGGAGUUCCUAGGCCACCUCAUGACCUUCCUUCAUUUGCCCCGUGGUGACAGGUGACAGGAGACAGGCGAGGCAGGUCAGUGAACACUCGGGAAGCAUCCAGAACAAUCUCGGACCCACAGCUCAUCUCCCAUGGUGCCACCCACGGCUGCCCUCCUUGCUCUCUGAGUUAGUAUCGUUGCCAUGGCACGCUUGGCUUCCGGGUGCCCUGUGCCUCUGCCUGCCUGCCCUGUCCUUAGCGUCUUCUGCCCACGGGGUGUCCCAGAACCCUCUCCCCUUCCCCAGCCCUUCUGUCCACACCAUGCUCAUUGCUCCGUGAGAAGCCAGCUUAGCCUCAGGAUGAGCUGGCACCCACGUGACUGGCCCUCGGGCCUCAGGCCACCCCGGGACCAGGUGUGGAGUCGGCCAUGGCCGCGAGGAGAACCUGUCCUCAUUCUUCUCCAGAGAAGAGAUUUUUCUCAAGGGAAUAAGGAAAAUAUUUCAGUUGUGCCUAAACUUUUCCCAUUGGAUGCUCACAGAGUCUGGGAAGCAGGGGUGGAAUUGACCCUCAGCUCCUGGGGUGGGGAGAGGGUGGGGUACCAAGCCACUCGGUUCUAAGGGACCAAUUUCAAACUUGUUUAUUCUGGGACUGCGGAAUUGACACCCUUCGUGGGAUCCCUUGGGACUGCUGACAGCCUAGAAGGCUCGGAAAACAUUGCUCACCUGUCAUCGUGCAGAACCCUGAUUUAGUUUACAGAGGACAUUCCUGGAUCUGGCUGCAAAGCCCCAUAAAUUAAAUGGGAAUCAGUCACAUUUAUGAUGGAGUCGUUCAGAAGCUGUGUUAGAAAUGUAUGACUCUGAGCUCUCAUUCAGCUGUUCACCGUGUCUGCUUGUAGGUCUUUCUGUCCUGGAUGGGACAUUUAUACUUGUGGGUGGGAUAUUAGCACUUUCAUAUUCCCCAGUGUAAUCUGAGAUGUCUGCCAGCAGGCACAGCGGGCUCACAAGACACGUGCUCGGCUUCCUGGAUUAUGGAUUUUAUGUAAUGGACAAGAAAACAAACAAAAUCUCCCAAACGCAAAUUCCGAUGUUGGACUGGCACCUCACCCUCCUGGGCGGAGAGUGCUGGAGGAAGGAGCUAAGCUGGGAUGCUGGGUGUCGCUUCACGUUGCUCUCCGCCUUGUGCUUUGGAUGCUGCUCUCACGAAUGGCCACCCUCCCCAGCUUCUAGGCUCAAUGAGCUCAGUGAGAAAAGGCUGACUCUCCUUCAGCACUGACCCACGAGAGACCAAGACCGGGAUGGAGCAGCUGGCUUGCUCGUCCCUCGUUCUUUGGAAACUUAACCUUGAACUCCUGUGUGAGGGAAGUCAAACUAUCAAAGAAAGUGUCAAUAACUGGAAAAGUCUGCUUAAUUUCAAAGCUAUGAAACAUCCUUUGAAAAGGAAAGAUGAUCUCCGGAAACUGUGAGACGGCGUGCGGUUCCAUUUCCUGAGCAUCAGUUCAUGUCAGUAAUCGCCUGCGGACAUUCCCACACUUCUCCAUUCUGCAGGAACAUCUACCAGUCCCAGAAGCUGAACCCAUGGGAAUGCCUGAUCUUGGAGGACGAGUCUCUGGGACAUAGAACUCUUCUCAUUAUAAUGCAGCUUACUUCGGCUGGCUUGCUAGAGGAAGCAUGGAGCUCUGGGUCUCCACUCUUCCUGCAGUGCUGUGUCCUUUGUCACUCGCUGUUGACCAUCUCUCUCACGUACUCUGUUCCUGAGACAGGUUCCUCUCCAAAAACUCUGUUCCAGGAUCUGCUUCUUGGAACGU